CCUACGGGAGGCUGCAGUGGGGAAUAUUGGACAAUGGGGGGAACCCUGACCCAGCCAUGCCGCGUGUGUGAAGAAGGCCCUCGGGUUGUAAAGCACUUUCAGUGAGGAAGAACGCCUGGUGGUUAAUACCCAUCAGGAAAGACAUCACUCACAGAAGAAGCACCGGCUAACUCCGUGCCAGCAGCCGCGGUAAUACGGAGGGUGCGAGCGUUAAUCGGAAUUACUGGGCGUAAAGCGCGCGUAGGUGGCUUGAUAAGCCGGUUGUGAAAGCCCCGGGCUCAACCUGGGAACGGCAUCCGGAACUGUCAAGCUAGAGUGCAGGAGAGGAAGGUAGAAUUCCCGGUGUAGCGGUGAAAUGCGUAGAGAUCGGGAGGAAUACCAGUGGCGAAGGCGGCCUUCUGGACUGACACUGACACUGAGGUGCGAAAGCGUGGGUAGCAAACAGGAUUAGAUACCCUUGUAGUC
rnacentral:rRNA from 1 species